rnacentral:rRNA from 1 species
CCUANGGGGGGCUGCAGUCGAGAAUCAUUCGCAAUGGGCGAAAGCCUGACGAUGCGACGCUGUGUGAGCGAUGAAGGCCUUCGGGUCGUAAAGCUCUUUCGCUUGGGAACAAGAAAAGGUGGUUAAUAUCCAUCUAAUUUGAGGGUACCAGGUAAAGAAGCACCGGCUAACUCCGUGCCAGCAGCUGCGGUAAUACGGAGGGUGCAAGCAUUAAUCGGAUUUAUUGGGCGUAAAGGGGGCGCAGGCUGGAAUGUAAGUCAGAUGUGAAAUCCCGGGACUCAAUCCCGGAACUGCAUUUGAAACUACAUUUCUUGAGGGUAGGAGGAGAAAACGGAAUUCCACAUGUAGCGGUGAAAUGCGUAGAUAUGUGGAAGAACACCCGUGGCGAAGGCGGUUUUCUAUCUUAUUCCUGACGCUGAGGCCCGAAAGCUAGGGGAGCAAACAGGAUUAGAUACCCCANUANUC